rnacentral:misc_RNA from 1 species
UUAGAGGAAGAAAACAUAAAGAUUCCUGCUUGGUUCUCCUUUAACUCUAAGGAUGGUAUCAAUGUGGUCAGUGGUGAUUCUUUGUUAGAAUGUGCCUCAAUUGCUGAAUCAUGUGGGAAAGUAGCUGCUGUGGGUAUCAACUGCACUCCUCCUAGGUUUAUCCAUGGAAGUAUAUUAUCUGUCAAGAAGGUGAGCUCCAAACCAAUACUUAUAUAUCCGAACAGUGGGGAGAGCUAUGAUGCUGAUCUAAAGGAGUGGGUGCAAAAUACUGGUGUAUCAGAUGAAGAUUUUGUGUCAUAUGUAAACAAAUGGUGCGAGGUUGGUGCUUCCCUUGUUGGCGGCUGUUGUAGAACUACUCCUAACACUAUCAGAGCUAUAUACAGAACUCUCUCCAAUAGAUCUCCUGCUUUGCCAUUGUAGCAACCGACCUGAUUUGACAUAGAAGGAGCAAAGCAAUUACAAGUCUAACUGGCCUGGGCUGUUAAAAGGGCUUGCAUGGUCUGGAUAUUUUUGCCCUCAGUUGCGAUGUGGAGAGGAGGGUUAGACAUGGCCUAUGCUGCAGGUCAGGGUUGAAAUUUUUGUUCGAGCAGAUGAGUUGUCUUUUGUGAGCUACUCAUAGAGGGAAUAUCACUAGGUGUGAGGAUCAGUUUUCUGUUUAUAGCAAGCCUUGUGUACCGGAAGAUUGUGUCCUAUUUUCUGUUUAUAGCAAGCCUUGUGUACCGGAAGAUUGUGUCCUAUGUUAAAUAACGCCAACUCCAGCAAUUUAAUUGCGGUAUACACUCCUUGUGACUGAAAUGUGGAGGAAUCUCAUUAACAUGUAUUGGAAUGACAAUGAGACAAGGCUGUUGAAAACCUUUGGCCUGUGGCACAAGGGAGUUUCAAUUCACAUUUGUCUAAGCAGCA